rnacentral:rRNA from 1 species
CUAAGAAUAUUCCACAAUGGACGGAAGUCUGAUGGAGCGACGCCGCGUGUAUGACGAAGGCCGAAAGGUUGUAAAGUACUUUUGCGGAUGAAGAAUAAGUGGUGGAGGGAAUGCCAUCAUGAUGACGUUAGUCCGUGAAUAAGCCCCGGCUAAUUACGUGCCAGCAGCCGCGGUAACACGUAAGGGGCGAGCGUUGUUCGGAAUUAUUGGGCGUAAAGGGCGCGUAGGCGGUUUUAGAAGUCUGAUGUGAAAUACCUAAGCUUAACUUGGGAACUGCAUUGGAAACUGUGAAACUGGAAUCACGGAGGGGGAGUUGGAAUUCCUGGUGUAGGGGUGAAAUCUGUAGAUAUCAGGAAGAACACCGGUGGCGAAGGCGAACUUCCAGCCGAUGAUUGACGCUGAGGCGCGAAAGUGCGGGGAGCAAACAGGAUUAGAUACCCUGGUAGUCCGCACUAUAAACGAUGUGCACUAGGUGUUGGGCCGAGCGGCUCAGUGCCGGAGCGAACGUGAUAAGUGCACCGCCU